rnacentral:rRNA from 1 species
GACGUAGGGCGCGAGCGUUGUCCGGAUUUAUUGGGCGUAAAGAGCUCGUAGGCGGCUUGUCGCGUCGACUGUGAAAACCCACAGCUCAACUGUGGGCUUGCAGCCGAUACGGGCAGGCUAGAAUUCGGUAGGGGAGACUGGAAUUCCUGGUGUAGCGGUGAAAUGCGCAGGAUAUCAGGAGGAACACCAAUAGCGAAGGCAGCUCGCUGGGACGUACUGACACUAAGGCGCGAAAGCGUGGGGAGCGAACAGG